UCUCCGUAGGUGAACCUGUGGAGGGAUCAUUACUGAGUGAGGGCUCCGGCCCGACCUCCAACCCCAUGUGAACCGAAACCUGUUGCUUCGGCGCAGGCUGGGAGCUUCUGUAAACUCCCCCACGCGGACUCGCCUCCGCGCGGAGCAGGCCCGCCGGCGGCCCCUACCAAACCUCUUGUUUUUACAGUGUCUCCUCUGAGUUACAAACACAAAUGAAUCAAAACUUUCAACAACGGAUCUCUUGGUUCUGGCAUCGAUGAAGAACGCAGC
rnacentral:misc_RNA from 1 species